AACAGCUCAAAUUUGAAAUCUGGCGCCUUAGGCGUCCGAGUUGUAAUUUGCAGAGGGAGCCUCGGGCAGAGGACCGGUCCAAGUCCCUUGGAACAGGAUGCCGCAGAGGGUGAGAGCCCCGUAUCCGACCGGCACCGACGUCCGCGUGAGGCCCCUUCGACGAGUCGAGUUGUUUGGGAAUGCAGCUCUAAAUGGGUGGUAAAUUCCAUCUAAGGCUAAAUACCGGCCAGAGACCGAUAGCGCACAAGUAGAGUGAUCGAAAGAUGAAAAGCACUUUGAAAAGAGAGUCAAACAGUACGUGAAAUUGUUGAAAGGGAAGCGUAUGAGGCCAGACUUGGCCGCGCGGUUCAGCCCUCCUUCUGGUGGGUGUACUUCCGCGCGGACAGGCCAGCAUCGGUUUCGGCGGCCGGACAAAGGCGUGGGGAACGUGGCCCCCUUCGGGUGGGUGUUAUAGCCCCGCGCGCAAUGCGGCCAGCCGGGACCGAGGACCGCGCUCUGCAAGGAUGCUGGCGUAAUGGCCUCAUACGGCCCGUCUUGAAACACGGACCAAGGAGUCUAACAUCUAUGCGAGUGUUCGGGUUCGAAGCCCGUGCGCGCAAUGAAAGUGAACGUCGGUGGGAGGGCAACCGCACCAUCGACCGAUCCCGAUGUCUUCGGAAGGAUUUGAGUAGGAGCAUAGCUGUUGGGACCCGAAAGAUGGUGAACUAUGCGUGAAUAGGGUGAAGCCAGAGGAAACUCUGGUGGAGGCUCGCAGCGGUUCUGACGUGCAAAUCGAUCGUCAAAUUGGCGCAUAGGGGCGAAAGACUAAUCGAACCAUCUAGUAGCUGGUUCCUGCCGAAGUUUCCCUCAGGAUAGCAGUAACGCGUUUCAGUUUUAUGAGGUAAAGCGAACGAUUAGGGACCUAGGGGCUGAAACAGCCUUUAUCCAUUCUCGAACUUUAAAUAUGUAAGAAGUCCUUGUUGCUUUGUUGAACGUGGACACUCGAAUGCGGCGUUACUAGUGGGCCAUUUUUGGUAAGCAGAACUGGCGAUGCGGGAUGAACCGAACGCGGGGUUAAGGUGCCGGAAUGCACGCUCAUCAGACACCACAAAAGGUGUUGGUUCAUCCAGACAGCAGGACGGUGGCCAUGGAAGUCGGAAUCCGCUAAGGAGUGUGUAACAACUCACCUGCCGAAUGAACCAGCCCUGAAAAUGGAUGGCGCUCAAGCGUGCUACCCAUACCCCGCCGUCUGCCCCGAGAUUACGGGCAGACGAGUAGG
rnacentral:rRNA from 1 species